rnacentral:rRNA from 1 species
AGUGAACGCUGGCGGUAGGCCUAACACAUGCAAGUCGAACGGCAGCACAGUAAGAGCUUGCUCUUACGGGUGGCGAGUGGCGGACGGGUGAGGAAUACAUCGGAAUCUACUUUUUCGUGGGGGAUAACGUAGGGAAACUUACGCUAAUACCGCAUACGACCUACGGGUGAAAGCAGGGGAUCUUCGGACCUUGCGCGAUUGAAUGAGCCGAUGUCGGAUUAGCUAGUUGGCGGGGUAAAGGCCCUCCAAGGCGACGAUCCGUAGCUGGUCUGAGAGGAUGAUCAGCGACACUGGAACUGAGACACGGUCCAGACUCCUACGGGAGGCAGCAGUGGGGAAUAUUGGACAAUGGGCGCAAGCCUGAUCCAGCCAUACCGCGUGGGUGAAGAAGGCCUUCGGGUUGUAAAGCCCUUUUGUUGGGAAAGAAAAGCAGCAGGUUAAUACCCCGCUGUUCUGACGGUACCCAAAGAAUAAGCACCGGCUAACUUCGU